AAUUACCUUAUUUUCAGGAGAAGCUUGCAGGCAAUCUGGGGGAACUUGGAGGCAUAAAGUCAAAAUGACAAAAUAAUUCAUCAGAAUACUUACCAAAAGUUGCUCCUGCUCCUACGCUCAUGGACAGCUCCUACUCAUGCUCUCGCUCUCGGUCUCUGCCAGAUUGAAUGAUUGAGAUUUCUCUUGCACAGCUACCAGAAGACUUACAACUUUCAGACACGUUGCUCACGUCACAUCUAUGUCGUCGCUUUGUCCAUUUCUUAUACUUUCUAUGUUGUGAACAUAACUCACCUGGGUCCAUGUAAGACGUCCUCAAGUCAGCGUUAGAUCCACUUGUCCAUCUUUAAAAUUCUCUCUCUGUAUUUCUCAGUAUGACUGUGUUCAGUAACUGCUGUCAUCCGGUGACUUUCGCACGCAGAAAGAGCCCAAUAUGUUUUUUUAUUCCUCCGUGUCCUCCUUGGCUACUAGCAACUGCGUCAUUACUUAGAAUUCCUUAUGGGGGGGGGGGGGGGGGGACACAGAAACUACGCACUGUAGCUUUAAGACUGCGCCUGCAUCUAGGCAGGAUCAAGACAUCCUUUCUGAGGAGUGAAUUUUCCAAAUCUUGUAUUGUGAGUUUAUCAUCUGUGUAAGACAUUUGGACUCUUUGAUUAAAUGAAAAUAAAACAAUGUAAUGCUU